rnacentral:rRNA from 1 species
UGCCAGCCGCCGCGGUAAUACGGAGGGUGCGAGCAUUAAUCGGAUUUAUUGGGCGUAAAGAGCGCGUAGGCGGACUAGUAAGUCAGACGUGAAAGCCCGGAGUUCAACUCCGGAAUUGCAUUUGAAACUACUAGCCUUGAGGAUAGGCGGAGAUGACGGAAUUCCACGUGUAGCGGUGAAAUGCGUAGAUAUGUGGAAGAACACCGGUGGCGAAGGCGGUCAUCUAGCUUAUUCCUGACGCUAAGGCACGAAAGCAAGGGGAGCAAACAGGAUUAGAUA